ACUCCUACGGGAGGCAGCAGUGGGGAAUAUUGGACAAUGGGGGGAACCCUGAUCCAGCCAUGCCGCGUGUGUGAAGAAGGCCUUAUGGUUGUAAAGCACUUUAAGCGAGGAGGAGGCUACUAGUAUUAAUACUACUGGAUAGUGGACGUUACUCGCAGAAUAAGCACCGGCUAACUCUGUGCCAGCAGCCGCGGUAAUACGGAGGGUGCGAGCGUUAAUCGGAAUUACUGGGCGUAAAGCGCGUGUAGGUGGCUUGUUAAGCCAGAUGUGAAAGCCCCGGGCUCAACCUGGGAACUGCAUUUGGAACUGGCAGGCUAGAGUUUUGUAGAGGGUGGUAGAAUUUCAGGUGUAGCGGUGAAAUGCGUAGAGAUCUGAAGGAAUACCGGUGGCGAAGGCGACCACCUGGCCAAUAACUGACACUGAGACGCGAAGGCGUGGGUAGCAAACGGGAUUAGAUACCCUGGUAGCGAGUAG
rnacentral:rRNA from 1 species